GACGAACGCUGGCGGCGUGCCUAAUACAUGCAAGUUGAGCGCUGAAGGUUGGUACUUGUACCGACUGGAUGAGCAGCGAACGGGUGAGUAACGCGUGGGGAAUCUGCCUUUGAGCGGGGGACAACAUUUGGAAACGAAUGCUAAUACCGCAUAAAAACUUUAAACACAAGUUUUAAGUUUGAAAGAUGCAAUUGCAUCACUCAAAGAUGAUCCCGCGUUGUAUUAGCUAGUUGGUGAGGUAAAGGCUCACCAAGGCGAGGAUACAUAGCCGACCUGAGAGGGUGAUCGGCCACAUUGGGACUGAGACACGGCCCAAACUCCUACGGGAGGAAGCAGUAGGGAAUCUUCGGCAAUGGACGAAAGUCUGACCGAGCAACGCCGCGUGAGUGAAGAAGGUUUUCGGAUCGUAAAACUCUGUUGGUAGAGAAGAACGUUGGUGAGAGUGGAAAGCUCAUCAAGUGACGGUAACUACCCAGAAAGGGACGGCUAACUACGUGCCAGCCGCCGCAGUAA
rnacentral:rRNA from 1 species